UACGAGGGGGGCAAGCGUUGUUCGGAAUUAUUGGGCGUAAAGGGGGCGUAGGCUGUGCGGUAAGUCACCUGUGAAAACUCUGGGCUCAACCCAGAGCCUGCAGGCGAAACUGCCGUGCUGGAGUAUGGGAGAGGUGCGUGGAAUUCCUGGUGUAGCGGUGAAAUGCGCAGAUAUCAGGAAGAACACCCGUGGCGAAGGCGGCUCUCUGGAUCGCAACUGACGCUGAGACGCGAAAGCGUGGGGAGCAAACAGG
rnacentral:rRNA from 1 species